UACGUAGGGGGCGAGCGUUAUCCGGAUUCAUUGGGCGUAAAGCGCGCGUAGGCGGCCGCCUAAGCGGAACCUCUAACCCCGGGGCUCAACCUCGGGCCGGGUUCCGGACUGGGCGGCUCGAGUGCGGUAGAGGAGAGCGGAAUUCCCGGUGUAGCGGUGGAAUGCGCAGAUAUCGGGAAGAACGCCGAUGGCGAAGGCAGCUCUCUGGGCCGUCACUGACGCUGAGGCGCGAAAGCUGGGGGAGCGAACAGG
rnacentral:rRNA from 1 species